rnacentral:rRNA from 1 species
AUUGAACGCUGGCGGCAGGCUUAACACAUGCAAGUCGAGCGAGCGGCGGACGGGUGAGUAAUGUCUGGGAACCUGCCUGAUGGAGGGGGCUAACUACUGUAAACGGUAGCUAAUACCGCAUAACAUCCGAUGUGCCCAGAUGGGAUUAGCGAGUAGGUGGGGUAAUGGCUCACCUAGGCGACGAUCCCUAGCUGGGCUGAGAGGGUGACCAGCCACACUGGAACUGAGACACGGUCCAGACUCCUACGGGAGGCAGCAGUGGGGAAUAUUGCACAAUGGGCGCAAGCCUGAUGCAGCCAUGCCGCGUGUGUGAAGAAGGCCGUCGGGUUGUAAAGCACUUUCAGCGAGGAGGCGUUACUCGCAGAAGAAGCACCGGCUAACUCCGUGCCAGCCGCCGCGGUAAUUC